rnacentral:lncRNA from 1 species
AGAGUAACACAAUUAGCAGAGUCAUUCCACAUUUCUAAUCCUAUUGUAAGUUAUCCACUCAUUGUAGAUUCCUAGCAUUUGUAGACCUCCAGAUAUAUUGAAUAAUGAAGAUCACUUUUGUGUAUCUAUGUCUUGCUUCCAAAGGAAUUUCCACGUAAAUUUGUGUCUCAGCCUGCUGGACACGUAGCAAGGCCUAGGGGACGAGCGGAGGCCGUGCGACGGUGAUGUUGUCGGUGUUUUAGACCGGCAACCUACCUAGGGGGUACCCUAGGUGGUCUUUUGUGCGGUGGGUGUCGUCGAGAAUCAAGGAGUCAAUGGUGAUGCAAGGAACACGAUUUAGAUAGGUUCGGACCACUAGAUCAUGUAAUACCCUACGUCCUAUGUGUAGAUUGUAUUGAGUUGUACUUCGUUGUUUGGAGGGGGUCCCUGCCCGUCCUUAUAUACUCGGGGGAGCAGGAUUACAUGGUGGAGUCCUAGUCGAACACGAUUACAGAGUCCUACUCCUACUCGGCAGAGUAAUCCCCUUCCUAUCCGACUAGUAGUCGAGGAAAAACCAUGAAGCCUACACGCCCUAUAGAGUAGUCUUCAUGUCCGAGUAGGUUUCGGGU